UACGUAGGGACCGAGCGUUGUCCGGAAUCAUUGGGCGUAAAGAGCGUGUAGGCGGCCCUUUAAGUCCUUGCGUGAAAUCCUGCGGCUACAACCCGCAGACGGUCGGUGGGAAACUGGAGGGCUAGAGUGCGGGAGAGGAGAGUGGGAAUUCCCGGUGUAGCGGUGAAAAUGCAUUGAGAUCGGAAAGAACACCAACGGCGAAAGCACUCUGCUGGGCCGACACUGACACUGAGAGACGAAAGCUAGGGGAGCAAAUGGG
rnacentral:rRNA from 1 species